rnacentral:lncRNA from 1 species
UAGGGGGACGUUCUAUUUGGGUAUUUAUGGUCAUAUAGCAAACGUUACAAACGGACAUUUGGACGUUAACAGAACGUUCUCGCGUUGUCCUCUGUUGGUCAUAUAAUAACGUUCUCGUUAUUACUUUAGGGGGACGUUCGAGUAUUGGUUAUUAUAUGGUCACACAACAACGUUACAAAGAGGACAUUCGGGACGUUAACAGAACGUUCUCGCAUGGUCCUCUGUUGGUCAUAUAAUAACGUUCCCAAUGUGACUUUAGGGGAACGUUCCAUACUGGUUAUUAUAUGGUCACACAACAACGUUACAAAUAUGACAAAUUAAUGAAAGCAAAUAUGUAUUAAAUGUACAUCUAAUUAAUUCAUGAAAAUAUUAAAGAAUAAUACAAUAAGUAUAAAACUUAAAAAUAAUAACACUUACAUGCUAGCCAAUUUAUUAGGUCCUAAUUCUGUGGGUUGGAUUUGAUAUUUUUUACUUCAAAAUAAAAAUUAUGACUUUUACUCUACAAAUCUAAAAACCUUGAUGUGUCCAUAAAUCCCUUAUUAACAAACAGACAUACAAAACAAUACAAUGUCAUAGAUCAAGGCAACGUAAAAAUUAGCGAUUCAUAAGUGAUGCAGUUCAAUUUUUCACCACAGAUUUACCUUGGAAAAUUGUGGAGUUUUGUGGAACUCAACACUGUCUCCUAGCCUACUGCUGAAGUCGUGCGUUAAAUUUGAAUUUAUCAAGUGCACUUUACGACUUGAUAUAGUCUAAAAAUACUUACCGACAUUGCUGCAGAAUGAAGGGAGAGCUGCAGACCCAUUCAACUGUGAGCCACUGCUGCUGGUGCUGGCUAUACCUCCCAUUGUCCUUCCUUUAUGUGCGGAGUGGGGAGCGCGCGCACUGCAGGGCAUGGAAGCGCCCAUGCAAUCUCUUGCAAUUUUUUUCCUGUCAACAGUGUAAAACAACUUAAAAAUACUCCAUCAUUUCUGGUCAUACAGAUAAGAAUAAUACAUUAUUCAAAAGCUUAAAAUUAUUUGUGUAAAACUCACAAUAUCAAAGAAAAACGUUGUGCUUUUGCAAAAAUAAACCACCACAAAAAAGGACUGUUUUAAAAGGUUAUAUCUGCUAUGUAAAAAUAAGCACUUUAAUGUUGUAUAAAUAAAUAAUCUACUUUUGUUCUGUUAGAUGUGUUUUGACUACUUUUUGUAUGUUGUAUAAUUAUAAUAUAUAUCUAGGUAAUGAAGAUAUAUUAACAAAAAAAAUAAAUAAAUAAAUAAAUAAAUAAAAAUCCAUGUAUAUAAAUAUAAACAAAAACACAAAAACAAAAACCGCUUGAUCGAUUCAGGAAAGCAGCUGCUUGAUAAAGUGGACAAAGUUAAUGGCGAUUUCAAAUUGUCCACAAACUCAAUGUGAUGGCCACAAAGAUCACACCACAAGACUGAACUUCAUUCUGGGGGAAGAAUUUUUUUUUUUUUACCAUCGAAGAAAAAAUCACUUGGAUGAGUCAGGUUCUGCACAUCUGAGAAGAAGAAACAGGUAAGACGUUUAUAAUCUCAUAUAUUACAAUAAUGAACGAUUUGAAAUGUUAGGUAGCCUAUAAGACGAAUAAAACACAACAAUUUUACAACCGGGAAAUAUGACUAUUGGGUUUCUUUGCACUUCAACAUUUUUAAAUAAUUUUUAAAAAUAAUACUAAAUUAUAAUUAUUAUAAUACGAAUGAUUUAUUAGUAAAUAAUACUAAAUUAUGCUCACAACAAUUAUUUAUUUGAAAACAAUACUUUCAAUAUAACGCAAAGUAUGUUGAUAUAAUGGUAGGUAUAAUGGUAUUAUAAUAAUAAUAUAGGCCAAGCCUACACACACGAAGAUAUACUCCAAGUUAAUUAAUUAGUUAAUUAUUGGGUGCCCAGAAACUGGGAACCCAGUUUUUUUUUUUUUUUUUUUUUCUAUUUAUAUUAUUAUUUUAUUAAUAAUGUAAUAAUUAUUAUUAUUAUUAUUUAUUUAAUUAUCUUAUUAAUUAUAUUAUCAUUAUUAUUAAUAGUAAUAAUGUAUACAUGGUCGUUGGUUGUAAUUACUUAAUAGUUAGGAACUCAACACUGUCUCCUAGCCUACUAGCUGAAGUACGUGCGUUAAACUUUGAAUUUAUCAAGUGCACUUUACGACUUGAUAUAGUCUAAAAAUACUUACCG